CCUACGGGUGGCAGCAGUAGGGAAUCUUCCACAAUGGGCGAAAGCCUGAUGGAGCAACGCCGCGUGGGUGAAGAAGGUCUUCGGAUCGUAAAACUCUUUUGUUAGAGAAGAAAGUGCGUUAGAGUAACUGUUCACCUUUCGACGGUAUCUAACCAGAAAGCCACGGCUAACUACGUGCCAGCAGCCGCGGUAAUACGUAGGUUGCAAGCGUUAACCGGAUUUAUUGGGCGUAAAGCGAACGCAGGCGGUCUUUUAAGUCUGAUGUGAAAGCCUUCGGCUUAACCGGAGUAGUGCAUUGUGAACUGGGGGACUUGAGUGCGGAAGAGGAAGGUAGAACUCCAGGUGUAGCAGUGAAAUGCGUAGAUAUGUGGAAGAACACCAGUGGCGAAAGCGGCUCUCUGGUCUGUAACUGACGCUGAGGUUCGAAAGCGUGGGUAGCAAACAGGAUUAGAUACCCCAGUAGUC
rnacentral:rRNA from 1 species